UACGGGGGGGGCAAGCGUUGUUCGGAAUUACUGGGCGUAAAGGGCUCGUAGGCGGCCAACUAAGUCGGAUGUGAAAUCCCCAGGCUCAACUUGGGAACUGCAUCCGAUACUGGAUGGCUUGAAUUCGGGAGAGGGAUGCAGAAUUCCAGGUGUAGCGGUGAAAUGCGUAGAUAUCUGGAGGAAUACCGGUGGCGAAGGCGGCAUCCUGGGCCGAUACUGACACUGAGGAGCGAAAGCGUGGGGAGCGAACAGG
rnacentral:rRNA from 1 species